AACCUACCUAUAAGACUGGGAUAACUUCGGGAAACCGGAGCUAAUACCGGAUAAUAUUUUGAACCGCAUGGUUCAAAAGUGAAAGACGGUCUUGCUGUCACUUAUAGAUGGAUCCGCGCUGCAUUAGCUAGUUGGUAAGGUAACGGCUUACCAAGGCAACGAUGCAUAGCCGACCUGAGAGGGUGAUCGGCCACACUGGAACUGAGACACGGUCCAGACUCCUACGGGAGGCAGCAGUAGGGAAUCUUCCGCAAUGGGCGAAAGCCUGACGGAGCAACGCCGCGUGAGUGAUGAAGGUCUUCGGAUCGUAAAACUCUGUUAUUAGGGAAGAACAUAUGUGUAAGUAACUGUGCACAUCUUGACGGUACCUAAUCAGAAAGCCACGGCUAACUACGUGCCAGCAGCCGCGGUAAUACGUAGGUGGCAAGCGUUAUCCGGAAUUAUUGGGCGUAAAGCGCGCGUAGGCGGUUUUUUAAGUCUGAUGUGAAAGCCCACGGCUCAACCGUGGAGGGUCAUUGGAAACUGGAAAACUUGAGUGCAGAAGAGGAAAGUGGAAUUCCAUGUGUAGCGGUGAAAUGCGCAGAGAUAUGGAGGAACACCAGUGGCGAAGGCGACUUUCUGGUCUGUAACUGACGCUGAUGUGCGAAAGCGUGGGGAUCAAACAGGAUUAGAUACCCUGGUAGUCCACGCCGUAAACGAUGAGUGCUAAGUGUUAGGGGGUUU
rnacentral:rRNA from 1 species